AUAAUGGGAAGUUUAGAUAUUGAGAUAAUGCUUACAAAAAAAUAAAAUAUCAUAAGACAUAUCACGACCUUUGAGGGUUUGCAAGAGAUUUACCUUCUUCAAGUAUUAUAGUCUAUGGUGCAUAGAUUUGGAUAUGGUGCCACUCGUCUGAACAUUUUUGAAAGUGCAAGUAAAAUUAAAUGACUAAACAACCUACUUAAGACUCAUUCAUACACCUAAACAAAUUACCACACCAAAAAUGUUAGCUGCACACAAUUAAAUUAAUUUAAAUAAUUUAUAUUUUAUCAAUAAUUAAAUUAAUACGCAAUUUAUAAUUUGUUUUCUUAAAAUUAGUCACUUGCCACAUUUAAAAUGACCAUUUGAUAAUUUUAUUUUUUCUACGAAUUAAGUUGAGUGCUUUAUUUUUUCAGGAUAUUUGUUCAGUUUUAAGAAUUCCAUUAGGCAGUUAGAGACUCUGGCCACUGCUAUGGCGGCUAAUCUUCCUGCAACGGCGAAGUCCACCGCGACGACGUCGUCGCAGGAUAAACGACACCGUUCGAUCUUCGAAGUUCCGUCAAACUUCUUCGAGUCUUGUCGCCUUCUCCCUUCUCCUCUCUCAUCCCUCACCGACCACCACAGCGCAGGCCUCCGAACCCUUGAAUCUUCCUCAAACGACGUCGUUGUCGAUGACCCUCAAAACGCUGUCGUUUCCCUGCCGAGAUGGACCUGCAACACCUGCAAGGCUCAAUUCGAUUCCCUUCGAGACCAGCGUUCCCAUUUCAAAUCCGAUAUUCACCGAUUCAACGUGAAGCUGACAAUUAAGGGAAAGACUAUUGUGAAGGAAGAAGAUUUUGAGAUGCUGACAUCUGAAUUUGUUAAAGAUUAUGAUGUGUCAAGUAUAUCAGGUUCAGAAAGUGACGAUGAUAGCGAUGUUGAGUCUCAAAGUCAAAAUGAUGUGCGUGACAAAUCAAGUGAAAGUUUUAAACAAAAAAUAUUCAUCCGUCUUCAGAGUGGGCAGAGAGUUUCUGUCUGGAAGUGCUUGAUCAUGAAUGUGACUGAAAACGUGUUGUAUGAGAAUGAAAAAGCAGAGAAUGAAGUGGUUGAGAGGUUGAAAUCUCUGACUGUUGAGCCCAGAGAUAAUACCCUUUUGAGGAUCGUUCUGCUUGCAUCCGGUGGGCACUUUGCAGGUUGUGUUUUUGAUGGUGAUGCAGUUGUGGCUCACAAGACAUUUCACAGAUAUGUUGUAAGGGCCAAGGCAGGAAAAAAACAGUCUUCUAAAGAUGCUUCUGGGCGGGCUGCACAUUCUGCUGGGGCUUCCCUUCGUCGUCAUAAUGAACUUGCAUUAAAGAAGGAAGUUCAUGAACUGCUUACUGCUUGGAAACCUUAUUUUGAUGCUUCCAAUUGCAUUUUUAUACAUGCCCCUUCAAGUAGUCGUCAACUGCUUUAUGAUGGAGAAAGAUCAUAUUUUACAACCAAUCACCAGUGUGCUAUUAGAAAUAUUGCUUUGAGUGUUCGGAGGCCUACUUUCAGGGAAGCAAAGCGUGUAUAUAGCCAGUUGACCCUGGUAACUUACGAAGCUGAUGAUAAGGAAAUUUUACAAAGCAGUGAAGGGGACUUGGAAUCAAUUCACAUUGCUAAAAUAAAUGGCAUUUCAUCCUCUAGCAAAGGGGACAUGACUGAGUUGGCUGACAAAGAUAAAGCUGAAGCUUGUUCAAGUAAACAAAAUGAUGAAUUCCCUAUUUCAAGUGGAGAAAGUGAUAAUGAGCUAUCUGGUAAAUCGACUCCUUUACAUCAAGCAGUACAAUCUGAUGACUCUCAAAAGGUUUUGGAACUCCUCGAACAGGGCUUGAAUCCUUGCAUCAAAGAUGAAAGGGGACGGACCCCAUAUAUGUUGGCACAUGACAAAGAAGUGAGGAAUACUUUCAGAAGGUUUAUGGCUUCAAAUCCUGACAAAUGGGAUUGGCAUGAUGCAAAAGUGCCUAGUGCAUUGACCAAAGAAAUGGAAGAAUCACAAGCUGCUAAGCAGGCAGAAAAAGAUGCUAAGAGAAAAGCUAGAGCAAAAGAAUUAAAGAAAUUGCGUAAAGCAAAAGAAAAGAAGGCUCAGUCUUCUGUGAUGACUUCGAUUUAUUAUGGCUUACCUUAAAGAUUUGAGGGAUACCUUGGUAAUCUUGAAAUAGUUGACUAGAGUGAAAAUGGCUGAAGCUGCCUUACCUAAGAAUGAUUCCAAAAUUGUAGAAAAGCAAGUGGCUCCUCCAGCAUCUAUUAAGGGACAAUCUCAACCAAAAAGUACUGUGAAAUUAUCUAAAGAGGAUGAAAUAAGAAUGGCACAAGCUGCAGAAAGAGAAAAGAGAGCAGCUGCGGCUGAGAGAAGAAUAUCUGCCCUCAAAAUUCAAGCUAAUAGCAGCACAACCACUGCACCUAGCAUUUCAGAACCUAAAAGUGGUUUAGGCAGUGACAUUUUAUGUUCCUGUUGUAAUUCAUCACUUGCUGGUAAAGUUCCCUUCCACCGUUACAAUUACAAAUACUGCAGCACAACAUGCAUGCAUGUACACAGAGAGAUCCUAGAAGAUGGAUGACAUUGUUUUUUUUUAUAUUAAUUUAGUUUUUGGUGCAAGUUAAGAUUGCUCCAAAAAUCCCUUGUAUAUGGUAUCCAUUUGGUUGCAAAUGAUACAGGUUGAAAAAGUGAAAGAAAUGUAGAGGGAUGUUUGGAGAUAAUUGUAUACGGUAUUAAAUUUUUCUUUGUUAAUUGAUAAUUGUAUACGAUGUUACAUCCAGUAAUAAGUUUUAGAUCUU